rnacentral:tRNA from 1 species
GGAUGGGUAGUCCCGUAAUCGGUAUCGGGGGCGGACUGUAAAUCCGUUGUCGCUGGCCUUGCUGGUUCGAAUCCAGCGCCAUCCA